GAUGAACGCUGGCGGCGUGCCUAAUACAUGCAAGUCGAGCGAACGGACGAGAAGCUUGCUUCUCUGAUGUUCGCGGCGGACGGGUGAGUAACACGUGGAUAACCUACCUAUAAGACUGGGAUAACUUCGGGAAACCGGAGCUAAUACCGGAUAAUAUUUUGAACCGCAUGGUUCAAAAGUGAAAGACGGUCUUGCUGUCACUUAUAGAUGGAUCCGCGCUGCAUUAGCUAGUUGGUAAGGUAACGGCUUACCAAGGCAACGAUGCAUAGCCGACCUGAGAGGGUGAUCGGCCACACUGGAACUGAGACACGGUCCAGACUCCUACGGGAGGCAGCAGUAGGGAAUCUUCCGCAAUGGGCGAAGGCCUGACGGAGCAACGCCGCGUGAGUGAUGAAGGUCUUCGGAUCGUAAAACUCUGUUAUUAGGGAAGAACAUAUGUGUAAGUAACUGUGCACAUCUUGACGGUACCUAAUCAGAAAGCCACGGCUAACUACGUG
rnacentral:rRNA from 1 species